GACAUGAUUCUCUCUUAAUCACGAUUAAAUGUAAAAUGGCAGAAACAUUCCUUUUGGGCAAAUCACUUUUCUCCUUUUAAAUCAAUGCUAUUUAGAAACAAAACAAAUAAAAUGGAGGCAAUAUCAAUUACCAAGGAUGAAAAGGCUUUAUCUUAUCACAUCUUCAAGGUUUUAUGCCUUUUUCUUCGUGUCCUGCCCUUCCCUCCUCCACUCCCUGCUCCUGUUUCUCUGUGAGUCAGGUUUUAACAAGGGGGACGGCAGAAAUCUCCAAGGAUAUUUCGAGGGUGAGAAAAUGCUACGAUGGACCUGCGUUUCUUGACUAAUGGUGAAAACAGAAGCUCAGAGAGGUCAAGUAACUUCUUCAAGAUUGCACAGCUAAGUGGUAGAAGCAUGUUUCCAGCUUCAGAUCCAGAAACCUCUGGCCGCUCAGUUCUCUUGCAGACAUGGCACAUGGCAAGCAGGUUGCAGAUGAUUGGCAUGUCUCCCUAAAGAACAGGUGCUGUAUUCGUUGGUAACAUGAACUCAAAAUAAAAUCAAGAACAAAGUCUCA
rnacentral:lncRNA from 1 species